GACUGAAUGGAAGCGAGCUGGUGUUCAAUUCACCUCUGCGUCAUAGGACCAGCUGCCUCUGCUCUUGCCAUACCUUCUUCACCAUCGGAGACUAUACCCUCCAUCUGUGAGCCAAACAGACCGUCCCGUUAGUAUGGAACCUCAAGGUCUUUAUGACAAUGGAAACAAAAAAAUUGAUUGGCAAACCGCUUCAACCAGCAAGACCUGUUCGUCAUCUCUCUUCUCCUCCAGGACCAGUGUUCCCUUUCAACUUUCAGAAUGAAUAUCCAUGCAGCACUCAAUGCUUACAAAGUGGAGUGGGCAGAUGUAAGACGAAUGGAAUGCAAGCCUUUUCUCAAGGUCUCAAUGAGCAACAGCAACACCAGUCUCCAGUUAAAAAAGAGAGAAUUAAAUAUAGCAGAGAUUUCUUGUUGAAGCUUUCAAGUGUUUCCAUCUGCAGAAAAAAACCAGACUUUCUGCCUGAUCAUCCCAUUGUACUUCAAAAACCAGAAAACAACCAAAGUUUUAAGUAGCAUUUUAAGAACAGAUGAAUUUGAAGAUAAAGAAUUAUUCAUUUUAUAUUUUGGACACCUGCAAAUGAAGUGGACCUAGUACAAUAACUAAUGGACUGUGACGAUUCAAUUUAUUUUUACUUUUGAUGGUUGGCUAUUUGGCUUCUCAUAAAAGGAGAAAGAGAUAUUUUAAAGUAUAAAGAAUUUUUCUAAUCAGUUUCAGCUUUGCAGGCAGUUCCUGCAAAAAUUGGGAAAUAACACUCGAAAGUG
ensembl:antisense Gm11837 predicted gene 11837